rnacentral:rRNA from 1 species
AACGAACGCUGGCGGCAGGCCUAAUACAUGCAAGUCGAGCGCCCCGCAAGGGAAGCGGCGCACGGGUGCGUAACACGUGGGAAUAUGCCCUUGGGUGCGGAACAACAUCGGGAAACUGAUGCUAAUACCGCAUAAUGACUCCGGUCCAAAGAUUUAUCGCCCAAGGAUUAGCCCGCGUUGGAUUAGCUAGUUGGUGAGGUAACGGCUCACCAAGGCAACGAUCCAUAGCUGGUCUGAGAGGACGACCAGCCACACUGGGACUGAGACACGGCCCAGACUCCUACGGGAGGCAGCAGUAAGGAAUAUUUGACAAUGGGGGAAGCCCUGAUCCGGCCAUGCCGCGUGAGUGAUGAAGGCCUUCGGGUUGUAAAGCUCUUUUAGAUGUGACGAUGCUGACGGUAACUGCAGAAAAAGCUCCGGCUAACUUCGUGCCAGCAGCCGCGGUAA